rnacentral:rRNA from 1 species
UACAGAGGUCCCAAGCGUUGUUCGGAUUCACUGGGCGUAAAGGGUGCGCAGGUGGGUUUGCAAGUUUGAUGUGAAAGCCCCGGGCUUAACCCGGGAAUGGCAUUGAAUACUGCAGAUCUGGAGGAUUGGAGGGGGGACUGGAAUUCUUGGUGUAGCAGUGAAAUGCGUAGAUAUCAAGAGGAACACCAGUGGCGAAGGCGAGUCCCUGGACAAUACCUGACACUGAGGCACGAAAGCCAAGGGAG